CGAGACACAUGCGUUUAUUAUUGCAUAAAAAAAGUGAAAGGAUAUUGAGAAAAAAUGAAUGUGUGAUAUAUAUAAGCAUCGCAUUAUACGUCAUUUAAAUGUGUUUGUCAUUUGCGUAAAACGUCAUUAAACAUUGAAAGCACAAGUUAUCGACUGCCAUAUUUUUAUGUUCUCGUUAAGUGACAGUAACUUCUUUUAAGUUUUAAUUAAAAGGACAGGAGUUAUAGUUAAAGUACUUGAACGAAAAAUCAAGAAAGAGCGACAUGAAAAUGGGAGUGUCAAAAGCGAUAUUCCUAUUUAUUACUUUAUCAACAUUUCAAGCAUACUACGGACAAAAUUGUGCAAUUGAACGAAAAGUAAUCAACAAUACAGUUGAAGGAAAACAGUGGACACCAUUUUAUAACUUUGUAUUCUCUCGGACCACAAGCAUGUCUUAACGAGUGUAUUAGACGAGCGGACUGUGUGUUCUUCAACUUCAAAUGGGAGUCGCGAUUGUGUGAACUUUGCUACAAUACAACGGAAUCGAUCGAAAAUUCUGCCACCGGUUACUUCUUUAAGGAUAUUACUACAGAGAGAGGCGGACAAAACGAUCCAUGCGCAGGAACUAUCUGCUCCUCUGGUAAAAUAUGUAUUGUUUUAUACAACAAGAAGACAUUGUGUAUAGUAGACGGUUGACAAUCGUCGGCAGUACAGAUUUUUCUACUAUUUUCUGGAAUAGAUAACUCUUAAAAAUCAGCCGAACGUUUUAAUUAUAAACUUUUAUUGGAGAGAAAUGAAUCUUCUCAAUGAUCAAAAUUAGAUUUUGACAAACUGCUAUAAAUGUAUCUUAUUCAAUUAUUAAUGGAAAUCUUGUGGUUAAAAUUUCUUCAAAAGGUUAUGUACCAAUCAAAGGGUCAAAUAUAAAAAAAGAAGAUGUGGUACAAUUGCUAAUGAGAUAACUGUCCACAAGAGACCAAAAUGACACAGACAUUAAAACCCUAUAGUACUGGUAAAUCAUUAAACCAGGGAUGUCGUUUUCAUAAAUUACUUUAAACCUUUUACUAAAUUCUUCUAUAUAUAUACAGAUUUGGUUUUGAAGUUGAUCGUACCUGUAGAAAACAUAUUUUAAACGGGAUAGCACAUCCUCAUUUUUACGGAAAUGUUGUUAACCGUGCUCGAAAAUUUACACAUGAUCCAUGUAAACUUAUCGGUCCUUUUGAUAAACUUAUUCUUAAAGGUUACAUAUUCAACACUGUAAUGAGAUCUGUGAAUAAUGUUUUUAUAGGUAUAGAUAUUGUUAUAAGUAAAUUAAAAGCUAACUUAAUAUUA